rnacentral:rRNA from 1 species
CGCCAGACUCCUACGGGAGGCAGCAGUGGGGAAUAUUGCACAAUGGGGGAAACCCUGAUGCAGCAACGCCGCGUGAGUGAAGAAGUAUUUCGGUAUGUAAAGCUCUAUCAGCAGGGAAGAAAAUGACGGUACCUGAGUAAGAAGCCCCGGCUAACUACGUGCCAGCAGCCGCGGUAAUACGUAGGGGGCAAGCGUUAUCCGGAUUUACUGGGUGUAAAGGGAGCGUAGACGGCGAUACAAGUCUGAAGUGAAAGCCCGGGGCUCAACCCCGGGACUGCUUUGGAAACUGUGUUGCUGGAGUGCUGGAGAGGCAAGCGGAAUUCCUAGUGUAGCGGUGAAAUGCGUAGAUAUUAGGAAGAACACCAGUGGCGAAGGCGGCCUGCUGGACAGUAACUGACGUUGAGGCUCGAAAGCGUGGGGAGCAAACAGGAUUAGAUACCCUUGUA